CCUCGUUGGAGUGAGGUGAAAUCUCAUUGUAGUUUUGAUUUGCAUUUCACUAAUGGCUAAUGAUUGUGAACGUUUCCUCGUGUAGCUGUUAGCUACCUGAAUGUCUUCUUUAGUGAAGUGUUUUUUCAUAUCUUUUGCCCAUUUUUUAAUUGGGUUAUUUGUCUUGUCGUAGUUGAGAUUUUGCAGUAUCAUGUAGAUUUUCAAGAUCAGGUGCUGAUCAGAAAUGUCAUAGCUAAAAACUUUUUCCCAGUCUGUAGGUAAUCUUUUUACUCUUUUGGUGAAUUCUUUGGAUGAGCAUAGGUGUUUGAUUUUUAGGAGCUCCCAGUUAUCUAGUUUUUCUUCUACAUUCUUUAUAAUGUUUUGUAUACUGUUUAUGCCAUGUAAUGGGGCUCCUAGCAUUGUCCCUAUUUUUUCUUCCAUGAUCUUUAUCAUUUUAGAUUUUAUAUUUAGGUCUUUGAUCCAUUUUGAGUUCAUUUUUGUGUAUGGUGUGAGGUAUGGGUCUUGUUUCACAUUUUUGCAGAUGGAAAUCCAGUUACACCAGCAACAUUUGUUAAAAAAAAAAAACAAAAAACUGUGUUUUCCCCAUUUAACUGUUUUGGGGCCUUUUGUCAAAUAUCAACUGUGCAUAUGUGGAUGGAUUUAUGUCUGGAUUCUCAAUUCUGUUCCAUUGGUCUAUGUAUCUGUUGUUGUACCGGCACCAGGCUAUUUUGACUACUGUGGUGGUACAACAGGUUCUAAAAUCAGGUGGAGUGAGGCCUCCCACUUUGUUCUUCUUUUCCAGUAAUGCUUUACUUAUUCAGGGCCUCUUUCUCUUCCUUAUAAAGUUGGUGAUUUGUUUCUCCAUCUCAUUAAAGAAAGUUGUUGGAAUUUGGAUCGGAAUUGCAUUACAUCUAUAGAUCGCUUUUGGUAGAAUAGACAUUUUUAUAAUGUUAUGUCUUCCUAUCCAUGAGCAAGUUAUGUUUUUCCACUUAUGUAGGUUUUUUUGUUUUCUUGCAGAAGUGUACUAUAGUUUACUUUGUAUAAGUCUUUUGCAUCUCUGGUAAGAUUUAUUCCUAAGUAUUUUGUCUUCUUGGGGGCUAUUGUAAAUGGUAUUGAUUUGAUGAUUUCCUCUUGGGUGUUCUUUUUGUUGGUGUAGAGGAAUCCAACUGAUUUUUGUAUGUUUAUCUUGUGUCCUGAUACUCUGCUAAACUCUUCUAUUAGUUUCAGUAGAUUUCUUGAGGAUUCCUUAGGGUUUUCUGUGUAUAAGAUCAUGUCAUCUGCAAAUAGAGGUAAUUUUACUUGUUCCUUGCCAAUCUGUAUGCCCUUUAUUUCUUUAUCUAGCUUAAUUGCUCUGGCUAGGACCUCAGGCUGGAAGAGUUUUAAAGUGCCUAAUUGUAAAAGCCUACAUUGCCUUGAAGAGACUGUUAGUGGAAUUAUGGACAUCAAAGACAAUUCUGGUGAGGGCUCAGAAGGAAGUGAGGAGAGCUGUAACACCAGAUAUGGUGCAGAUGAUGAGACAUGGUGGCAGAAAAAUGGCAGCAGCAGAACCAGGAGACUGGCAAUACACGACUAGGGAGCUGACCCACAGAGUGAGAGAGCUGAGUUCCUUUGGGCAGAAGGCUUCCUGGUGGAGUGGGGUGCCUCUGGGCAUUUAUUGAUAGAGCUAAUGAGCUUUGUAACACAUGCUUGAGGAGGGCAGAGGCCGGGCUGGCCCAAGAGGCCCAAGGAGCUGAGAGGCCAAGAUACCAGGAAACAGAAGCUGAAGAGACAAGGAUCAUGGGAAGCAGAGCUGCCUCAGUCUCAAAGGGUGGGGCCACAACCUCUGGGGUCUCCAGUGUGGAAUCACAGCCAGCUGGAUCUCAAAGGAUGGGGCCAUGGCCUUCUAGGUUUUAUAGAGUCAGAUCUUCACCAACUCAACUCUGGAGUGUAGGGCUGACUUUCACAAGUCCCAGGGGGAUGGGGCAAGAUCUGCUGCCCAAAGCUAAGGUGGCAGGGUUGCCAUGCCCAAAGGGCAGAAGAAUGAGGUCCACUGAAGCCAAGGGGGUAGGAUCACCACUCAGACCGAGUAGGAGAAUGGGGCUACCCAAAUCUGAGGGAGCAGAGUUGCUGUCACAGUGGACCUGGAAGGUGGAGCUGAAGCCCAGGGCUGAGGGGUCUCCACUCAGAAUCUGGAGAGUAUGACUAACACCCAGAGUCUGGAGGGCAGAGCCAUUGUCUAAAUGAUCUCAGAGAACAGAUUAUUUUCAAUCCGGGAGAGCUAAUGUAAUGUGUUCUGCUGACUUGGUUGGUGCCUGUUAUCCCUUUUUUCCUUUCAAUUUCUCUCAUUUGUAGUGGAAAUGUCUACCUUGUACCUGUUCCAACAUUGUGCUUUGGAAGCAGAUGCCUUGUAUUCUGAAUUUCACAGAUGAAGAGAAACUUUGCCCCAGGGUGGAAUUUUCACUUGGAUUUGAUUACCUUGUGCCUACCAGAUACACAGAAGUUUCAAAGGAAAUCUGUUGACUAAAUGGAAGGAGUGGUGAAGACUUGAGAACAAAUAGGCCACUUGAGUUGGAGGCUACCUGGUCAGUGGGAAACCCAUGAGGUUUGGAGUUUGAAGAGCUAUGAAUUCAUAGAGAGAUCAAACAGCAGUGGGAGCAUUGACAGCGUGGCUUUGUUCUUUUUGUGUCCGCAUUAUUGGUAUGGUCUUCAAUCUGAGUACCCCUGCAAGAAUCCUUUUAAGGUACAUACAGAUCCUAUAACAGUUGAUUUAGGUUGAAAUAGAUAAUAUCGUUAAAUUAAUUUUACUGGUCUCAUGUAAACUGUGAUACGUCAUAGUCUGCUUAAAGUAGACAGAGGAGGGAGGGUACCCUUCUGUCUGCCCUGCCCCUUCCUGUUGCGACCCUGAGUAGCUCAUGAGACAUGUGCCAUCUGACACAGGGACAGAGUGGGUGUGCUUGUGUCUAUGCGUGUCUUCAAAAUUACAAAAGCUUAAUUUCUUUCAUUCUUUCUCUCUUUCUUUCCAGACAAAAACGAACAUAAAUAGUUCUAUUAUAUUGUUCCUGUACCCUGUUGGGAUAUGUACACCCAUUUUGGGGACCCCUUUUAUGUAUUACACCACACAAGUGUAUUUUCUAACACAUUGAUAUUUGGUGUCCUAUAGACCUGUCUCCACCACCUGUUUGCCAGUUUAUCGUACUGUGGUGGCUUACGAUGCUGGAAGCUUUGCUACCAGUAUUUAAAAUACUAGCAGGGUCAUCCACAGUGGACAGGUUUCAGCGGAGCUUCCAGACUAAGACAAAGGAGGAAGAAAGGCCUGGUGAUCUUCCAAAAGUUAGCCAAUGAAAGCCCUGUAGAUUAAACAGAAUAUUGCCUGAUACAGUACUAGAAGAUGAGCCCCUAGGUUGGUCGGCUCGUGAAGAUGACGCGUGACUGGGUCACAUUUUGUUCUGUUAUGCAUAAGGUGACUGAGCGGGAGCUGAGUUGACGGCAUCUAAAAACAAUAUGAACCUACCUGGAACGUUUCCUGCCCCUAGAAGUUUGGGUUGGGCUCCUUGCAUCUUCACAUUCUGCCUGUCCCCAAACUGCCCCACGAUGCUGCCAAGUGGCCUUGGAAGUGGCUAUGUUUUAGAAAAGUCUGCAAAGUUGGCAAACGUGCAGGGGUGGUGAACUGUGAGGGACAGCCUCCUGCCGGAGUAAAAACUGCUGACAGCCCCAGCUGCCUGCAGCGGCUCUCUGUCAUCUUUGUAAACAGGGUCCAACUGGUCUGCUUUAUCUCUCCCUGCAAAAUGCAGAUUUAAUAGGAAGUGCCCUCAGAAUCAUUGCUGCCAGGACGAGUCUCCAAAGGCAUUAGGGAUAACAGUUUAAUAACUGCAGAAAGAGCUUAGGUGCUUCGCUGUGUUGGGUAUGUCUGAGUUAGCUAGUGAAAAACGAACUUGGGACAUUAAACCCUUUUAUCACUCAGAUAGAGCAAUAAGGGAAAAAAUCCAUUCCUUGGCAGGGGAUGAGUUUACUAGCUUCUGAAGGGGGUGUGUGUUUGAAUGUGAUAGGAAAGGGAGCAUUUGUCAGAGUGGAAGGGGGAUCAAAAGACAAAUGAACUCUGUGAGUUAAAUACGAGCUUUAAAUUAUUCCUCUUUGAACUGCUCCAGCUAUCAGCAGAAUGUGCUGCACAGAAAGCCAGCCUGUCUUCCCAAGGUCUGUGGGCCACACGGGGGCCUCUAUCUGCGAGGGUUGCAUUUUAAAGGGCAGAUAGCCAAGGCUGGGGAGGCCAGAUAAAUGUCUACUUAGUUGGGCAGUAGAGUCACUUUUGCUAAUCUAUUUACCUAGGAACCUGCAGAAAAUAAAAGGUUUAGACAUAUUACUUGGGUGAGUUAAAAGUCAUUCAUACAGAGUGAGGAUGGAUAAAUCAGGCUAACUUCGCCAAGUGGUUUCCAAAUUUUGAUUCAUGGAGUCCCCUAAGGGUUUACCUUCUAUGGAAGAUUGCACAAAUGGCCACACCUUCCACCCCUUCGUUCAUGCCCAUGUGUGCUGAUGUAACCAAACGCAGGGUCUUAUUCUGCUUUAUUUAGCUGAUGGAAAUAAGACAGACGACACACCACCAGCUGUAAGGGAAACAGAAAGUGGGGAUUUAUUGUUUGUGCAAACAAGCAGCAGCAUGGGGCUCAGCAGCUGAAAGACCAUGUGCUUGCUGUCUGAGGGGGUUGGGAAGCUUUUUAUUUCUAAUGGCGUCUGGGGGUUGGGUUUGGUGCCCGGAACUCUCUGCCCUCGGCCAUCCCAUGUCCACAUUUGGAAGUCCGGGUGUUGAAUGAUGUUCAGGUCCAGGGAUGGAUUGAGGCCGCAGAUCUUCGGGUCCUGCACAUGCUCCAAAAUCUUGAUUUGCGCGUGCGUGGGAUGCUGGCACCAAAUUCAAACUGCGGUUAGGUCCACAGUGCGGUCAGGCCGAACCACAAUUCCAAGCUGUGGCCUGGCCGCUGCGAGGGGUGAGGGGAAGUUUCGGCGGAGGCUGCAGUGACAUUGGAGACCCUCCCAUCAAGAGGUGGAGACUGUUGCUCUACUCUUGAAUCUAGGUUGGACGUGAGACUUGCCUUGGCCACUGGGGUGUUAGUAAUUAUGAGACAAGCAGAGGCUUAGAAAGGAUUUGUGCAGGGGGCUUGCCCUCAUGAUGCUCUUGGAAACUCCUGCCUAUACCACCAUGCGAAGAAGCCCAGGCUUUUCUACAGGAUGAGGAAAACACAGCCAGCUCAGCCUGUGAGCAGAGUUGCCGAGCUGGUGGGUGGCUGACUGCGGAUUCACAAACGGCCUCAGCUGAGAUCAGCAAGAGAACUAGCUACCUGAGCCCAGCCCAAAUUGCCGACUCACAAAAUCGUAAGCUAAAUAAAUUGCUUUUGUCUUAAUUAAGUCACUGGUUUUGGGGUGUGUUAUGCAGCAAAAGCUAACGUAUCUUCAGGCAAAAGCACGGAACCAAGGUGCAGCAUUCAGUGUCGUUGUUAGCUGCCAUUGGGUCGGCUCAUGGCGACCUUAUAACAGGACCAAGCUCUUGCCUGGUCCUGUCCCAUCUUCAUGUGUUUGAGUCCACUGUUGUGGCUACUAUAUAAAUCUAUAUCAUUGAGGGUUUCUCUCAUUUUUGCUGACUCCAGGGGUAAUAUUCAGGGCCCCCAAUUUGGAUUCAUGUAGAAUAGCUCUAAUUUAUUUUUUUCAUUUAAGCUCUUGUUUGCAUAAAAGAUUUGGGGGAUACAGUUGAUGGAGGGAGAGCGUUUGGCUUAGUCCACAGCAUCCCAGAAUACUCCUAUUGCUGAUGAAAGAGCCUUGAGUCAUCAGACCUGCAGUUGCUGCCUGUGGUUUUAUAGUUCGGAAGUGUGGGAAGAGUUCCUAGGAAUGGCUGAUUUGUCUCCCAGUUAACCUGUUCCUUUGUUACUCGGAGUGCUGCACAGCUAGCCAUCUCAGUUUAGGAUCAGCCUCACCAGGGAAAACAGGAGCAAAUCUGUUGUGGGUUUGCUGCAGACACUUGAGUUCGCUCACCGAAAGUGAGACUUUCCUUUGUGUUCUGGCGGUAAUUAUCCCCACGAUCAUAUGAUGACGUUGCUGAUGCCAUAAGAUGGGAUUUGCACUUGAGGAGGAAAGUGGGAGUUAGCCUUCUGUUGGGAAGAAGAGAACAAAAAGAAAUGUGAUGCUCCUAAAGGUACAGCCUUAGGGUCCUCUAGACAAGGGAUAUAGAAAUUCAGUCUUUAUGUUAUUUCUUGCUACAUAGUCAUGUUAUUCUUCCAUCAGACUUUUACAUCAUUAUACAGUUACCUGUGCACAGUGGAAAUCUGUAGGUUUUUCCUGUCCAUCAUUAUUCCACUUUCUUCCGAUAGUGCUCUGCUUUUCCUUUGAGUUAUUAUUCUUCCCUCCAUUGCACACAGUGUUGGUGAGACUGUUGUUCCAGGUGUCCACACAUCCCUGGUCAAGGUUGGCACAUGGUCCAAGCUUCGAUGACAAAGAAUUUAAAAGUUAAAUGACACUAAGACAGACUAUGGCUGGUGCUGAUUCAUACCCCAAGAGCCUGUCAGUCUGUUUCUUCAUCCCUGUGCCCAGGAUCUGUCUUGUUCCUUUUCUUUUGAAGGUUGUUGUUGCUGAUAUGGGCCACCGAGUCGGUUCUGACUCAUAGCGACCCUACGUACAACGGAACGAAACACUACCUGGUCCUGCACCAUCCUCACAAUCAUCGCUAGAUUUCCUUUAAUUCUGUGAGCUGCCUUGAACCCUCACAGUGAAUUUUUUUGCAUAAGUAACCAGUCAGUUUUUGUUGGCAGCAGCUAAAGAACACUGAUUGAUAUACUUUUCUCAGCUAAUGUUACAACCUAUGGUCUUUAUAAAGAAUCUGAUUCUCCUCUCUAUCUGGGCAUAUGGUUGAAUGGCAUUUUCUUGUCUUCUCUGAUGUGGCCAUAUGAUUUUCUUUGGUUAAUGACAAUUGAGUGAAAGUGUUGCUUCCUCCUGCCGUGGUGAGUAUGGAUGAAUGUAACAAGGCAGGCCCUCAAUCAGCCUCAACCUCCCAGUGAUUCUGAUGAGCAAAAUCUUCCUAUCCCCUUCCCUUUACUCACAUUAGACACAUAGAGUGAGUGUGAAAAUAACCUUUGUGACGAUGAGCCACUGGGAUUUAGGGUUUUGUAUUACCAUGGCAUAACCUGUCCUGUUCUGACUCAUAGAUCACCCUUGGACAAGUCAACAUCCAUAUUAAUAGCUUGUCAUUCAAUUUAGCCUUAUAUUUCUUUACCUGUUUUUCCUGAUCUCUGUUCUCUAUCAGCCAAGGAUUGAUAAAGUUAUACCUUUAGAAACUAAUUAUAAGGCAAGAUAGCUAGCUCAACCAGAAUUCAAAAUAUAGCAGCAUGCAUUCAUUUCAACACUUUUUGUUGAGUGCCCAACAUUGAUUUUAUUAUUACACUGGUGCUAUAAGAGAUACAAAGGAAUAGAACUUAUAAUUUGAAUAAAUUAAUGAUCCAAUUGGAGAUUCAAGAGUGGAAUGAGUUAAUAUCAAAGAAAGGUGACAGUAUAAGAGUAAGAAGUACUCUAGGGAAUCUAGAAGUAUCUAUUUAAGUGGCAGAGUCAAAGUGGGGUAUGAGAUUCUAGAUGGAAGAGAUGAUUGUGCGUUAGGGCAGCUUUUCAAUGAGGCAGCGACUUGGCUGGGCUUGAAAGUUUGGACUGAAAGAGAGGGAGGGGUUUUCCAUGGAGAGGAGACAAUAUAAGCAAAGUUACAUAGUGAGAGAACACGAAUUUAGAAAAUCAAUCUGAUUCAAGUGGAAGGGAGUAGUAAGAGAUAAGAUUGAAAAGGUAAGUUAGAGUUGGAUUAGAGAGAGCCUGGAGUUAGUUUGGAAAAUUUCCUUGGAUAAUGGAAAGUUGGUGUGGAGUCAUGGAAAAUUUAUAGGAGAGAAGUGAUAGUGGGAUAAGUGUUAGGCUUUAUGAAGACUAAUUUGGGAGGGAAAAUUGGACAGAGUAAGAGCUUGGAUAUAGGAAAACUAGCUGGGAGGGUAUCAUGAUAAUUUGAGGAUGACAUAUUGAGAGUCUAGAAUUAGGAGAUAGAGAGAAUGGGAAAAAUAAAAAAAUUCAAAAUACAGAAACAAAAAAAGAAUUUAAGAAAAUUUCAUAACUGACAUGCUGUAAAAGAAAGAAUUAAAAAGAUUCUGAAGUUUUAACUCAAGGGAAUGAGCAGAAAUA